rnacentral:lncRNA from 1 species
AUAGGUACUGUUCUUUUUUCCCUGGACUAAAAUAUUCAUAUAUUCUUCAGCUACUUAUAAGAAAAGAAAGCAAUUCUUUUGAGUUUUGAAGAAAGCUUCCAGCAUAGAGCAAGAAUGAACCUAGCUGUACAAUUGGAGACAGUUGAAUUACUGCCCUGAAGUUUUCAUUCUUUCUGAGAUGUCAUGAGAGAUCCGUCUGAGGAACUCGAAUGAGCAGGGAAUCAAGCUUAUCUCUCAAAGAAUCUCAGAUCACAUUUAAUAAUGGAAAUACUCCAGAGGACAGGUGGUUGAGGAUCCUUGACAGCAAGAACAUUUCAGUGUUACACACUAGAAGUCUUUUCCUAAACCUUUCACUUAACAUUUGAAGUAAACACGUUAUUCUGCCAGCAUCUCAGAUUUUGAUAUGUAUGCAUUCUUUUGAACCAGUGUGGGCAGCACUCCUCACCUUAAUUGACAUACUCCUUCCUGGUCACCUACUCUGUCUGCUUUGUGUCACUGCUCAUCCAGCCAGCAGCUGCUGAUCCUCUUCUUUGUUCAUAAUUUUUGUGAAGGUCACUUUCUGUGUAAAGACAUGCCAGCAUCUGCUCUGUCAGUGUCCCACACUUGGUGUUCAGAAAACAGGUUUUUUCCUUGUUUCAUUAGCAGUUUAUUUUCUGGAGAAAGGAUGAUAAACAAAGUCUUAAUAUGAUAAGUGUUGAUUCUAGCUCUAAGUAUCAGUCAGGAUAAAAAAAAAAACAACACAAUUAUUUGAGUGAUAAGGACCAUCGGUUUGAUGUGCAAUUAUUCAUUCUAAUUAUCAUUAACUAAGAUGAUUAGCUGAUGUUACGUAGGUCACAUUUCUUGGUAUAUUACAUUGAAUUGUAAAAAUGUAACAACUGGCAUAUUAUCCCCAAAUGCUAUUAAAUCAAUCUGUUGUGAGGGAAAAAUCCC